UAAAAAUUAGUUAAAUAUAUAACAUUAGAAUGUCAAACUAAAAUUAUUAAUACUUAAUAUUUUUAA
rnacentral:tRNA from 1 species